GUGCCUGUACAUGUCCUAGGUUUAAACGUCAAACCAGCCUGUUUGCAGAGUUUGCAAGGGUAAAGCUAGAGGCCUAGAUCAACUCCAAGUAGCGGUGGAAAUGGAUGUCUGGAAAUCCAAAUACCUUGCAAAGUUCGCAAGAGUAAAGUUGCUAGAUAUUUUUCUUCCGUAUGUCCCAUAUAGAGCAACUCCAAGUAGCGGUGGAAAUAGAUGUCUGGAAAUCCAAAUACCUGAAUCUAUAUCUAGUAAAACUUGUAAUAUAGAUAUCCGCAUAUGUAUCCGUUCAUAAUGU
rnacentral:lncRNA from 1 species